rnacentral:rRNA from 1 species
CUCAAAGAUUAAGCCAUGCAAAUGUAAGUUUAACUUUUUAAAAGAGAAAACGGUGAUCGGCUCCAUAAAUCAAUUUUAAUUUAGAUGGGAUUGGAGGAUCGGCUGAGAAAAAGCUGAUCAACUAGAAGGAUAUUUAUGGUAAUUCUAUAAUUAAUACUUGAAAGACGAGGGAGCGGUGCUUCGGUGCCGCUCUUGGGAAUUGAAGAAAAAUCGGGGCGUUUCGGCGCAACGGUUCUGUUGAAUCAUUCAAUUCAUGUAGCUUGUGAGGCUUGCUUGAAAUAUUGAGCAGCCCGACCCAUUCAAGAUUUUGAUUUAUUAGGUUUAGUUGAGAGUGUAUUGGACUCUCAAGCCAAUAAUGAAUACGAGAAAUUAGAGUUUGAUUUCGGAGAGACCGCCUUAAAAACGGCGAUCACUUCUAAGGAAGGCAGCAGGUGCGCAAAUUAUUCAAUCGGGACGGAUCCGGAGAUAGUGACAAAAAAUAAGAAAAACCGAGUGCUUUCAAAGCGCUGGUUUAUUCCAAUGAAUUUAAGGUAAAAAUAUACUUAUGAGUAACAAGUAAAGGGCAAGUCUGGUGCCAGCAGCCGCGGUAAUUCCAGCUUUAUGAGUGUAUGUCAAAGUUGUUGUAGUUAAAAAGCUCGUAGUUGAAAUUGGGAGUUGUGCAGGCAACUGCAGCGGUGGCGUGUUUGGCGUGGCGUUUGGUCGCAAGACUGGCGCGGCGCUCGCGUCACCAACAGCUCUUUUAAGUGGAGCGUCGAGUCGCCUCUUGUGCGGCGCGGUGUUCCGGUUUAUUUUGAAAAAAUUGGACCGAUCAAAAGAGGAUUUUGAUUCAAAUCAAAACUUUUUUUAAUCUUUUAAACAUUUUAGCAUGAGAUAAUGGAAGAAGACAGUUGGUGCGGCGGCGAGCGAUCGUCGGCGCAAAAAUGCAAUUGUAAUGAUGAAUAGGGAUAAUUUGGGAUAUAUAUAUUAAGAAGUUAGAGGUGAAAUUCUUGGAUUUUCUUAAGAUAAACAUAUGCGAAAGCAUUUAUCAAGGAUAUUUUCGUUGACCAAGAACUAAAGAAUGAGGAUCGAAGAUGAUUAGAUACCGUUGUAGUUCAUUCUGUAAACAAUAAGAAGAAAAGAUAUGUGAACGAGGGGAAGUCGGCGGCGUGCUUCGCGCAGCGGUCGAUGAAACGUCUUCAUGUGAAUUUUGUUGAGAAAUCAUUACUUUUUGCUUUCUAGGGGGAGUAUGAUCGCAAGUUUGGAACUUAAAGGAAUUGACGGAAGGCCACCACAAAACGUGGAUGCUGCGGCUUAAUUUGACUCAACCCGGAGAAUCCUACCAGAGUAAGAUUUUAGAAUGAUAGACAGAUUAAAAGUUCUUUCUUGAUUUGAAAGAAGGUGGUGCAUGGCCGCUCUUGGUUCGUGGUGUGAACUGUCUGCUUAAUUGCGUUAACGAACGAGAUCAAAACAUGAUAAAUAGAGAUUGCGACGCGAGCUGGAGUUGCUCGACGGCGUGUGUGGGCAAGCGUGUAACAGCGUUUGUUGCGCUGCGCUAGUGACGGCGGAUUGCUGCCGGGAUUCCAACUGCACUACUUGAUCGUUUGCAGUUUGCCUGAACAGCUAAUUUAUCCUUUCGCGUCGUAGCCAAUCAACAUCUCUUCUUAUAUGAACUAUAUAUUUUCAAUUAUAUGGAAGUUUUUGGCGAUAGCAGGUCUGUACGCCCUUAGAUAUUCUGGUCCGCACGCGGCAUACAAUUGAAAAAGAAAUAAGUUGUUUGACAGCGUGGCGCGUUUCGGCGCGGCUCGCUUCUGUUGGCUUGAAAUUGAGCUGACUAAUCUUACAAAAUCUUUUCAAUAACUGGGAUAGAAGGUUGCAAUUGUCCUUCUUGAACAAGGAAUGUUUAGUAAACGCGCUUCACCAAAGCGCAUUGACUACGUCACUGGCCUUUGUACACACCGCCCGUCGCUUCUACCGAUUGAUAACAAAGGUGAAGAAUUGGGAGCUGCGUCCGACUUGUCGCGAUGCGGUAAACUUUCCUUAAUCUUUUUUAUUAGAGGAAGAAGAAGUCGUAACAAGGUAUCUGUAGGUGAACCUGCAGAAGGAUCA